rnacentral:lncRNA from 1 species
CGAGGGGAAUGCAGAGACCUGUGUCUCAGAUGGUGCCACCCAAAGUGGCAGAGCCCGUGUCAGCGGUGGGACAGGGCCCUGCCGAACCACCCCGGGAGCACAGCGUGGGAAGAAAUGCGCGCUUGACAAGCGAAGCCCCGUGUGUUCGCCCGUCUGAUGGCAACAGCUGCGCGUCCUUCCGUCUUCCACUCUAGUGGGGGAGGCCAGGGUCAGAACAUGCCUGAGAAAGCAGAUAAACAAAGGAGACAGGGCCAGGGAGGUCCCACACGGAGAAUGAAGUCAGGUGACUUGGCAGAAGGCAAGGGCAGGGACAUUCGUCAGAGAAGCACGAAUGCGAAGGCCGAAAGGGAAGCAAGCCUGGGGAGCUGGAAACCUGAAUAAGACCUGCGGGGCCACAUGGAGGCGAGGGGAAGUCAGAAGCAGUGAGGGUGGAGCCCCGCGGAGCCUGUAAGUCCCUGUGAGGGCUCCGGACUUUGUGCCGUUCUCCGCACCCCUCAGGCCCGGUGGAGUGCGUGACCCCUACGCCGGGCCCGCAUCAUUUUGGCUCCACAGCUGCCUUUACUCCCAAUUACUGCUUGAUCCGGGUUGUGCUCUGGAUCGAUGAGAUUGUCAGCAAGCUCCAGGCAGCCAAGGGGGCCCUGUGUCCGGGAGAGAAUGCCUUGCCUGGCAGAAGAUGGCUGAGAGGAUCAGGUGAAUCCUAAGUGGAUGAGCGUUGGGCCAAUCAGGGUUCAUGCGCGAGCAGCCACAGUCCAUCUGCUGCAGCCACGUCCUUGAGGAAACCCGUCAAAUCAGGAGCAGCAGCUCUCCAGGCCCCUUCAUUCCAGGACAGUCGGCAGAGAACUAGCAGAACCAGAUAUGCAGCUCCAGGAGGGAGACCUGACCCUUGCACGUGGGCUCCU